rnacentral:rRNA from 1 species
UUACUCUUCGGAGUGAGAGCGUACACAGGUGCUGCAUGGCUGUCGUCAGCUCGUGUCGUGAGAUGUUGGGUUAAGUCCCGCAACGAGCGCAACCCUGCAUUCAGUUGCCAUCGGUAAGCCGGGCACUCUGGAUGGACUGCCGGCGACAAGCCGGAGGAAGUGGGGACGACGUCAAGUCAUCAUGGCCCUUAUGUCCAGGGCGACACACGUGCUACAAUGGCCGGCACAACGGGAAGCGAAGGGGCGACCCUGAGCGGAUCCCACAAAAGCCGGUCUCAGUUCGGAUUGCAGUCUGCAACUCGACUGCAUGAAGUUGGAAUCGCUAGUAAUCGUGGAUCAGCCAAGCCGCGGUGAAUACGUUCCCGGGCCUU